rnacentral:lncRNA from 1 species
UAAAGACUACAAUUGAACAAAUUAUAUUACUUUUUGAGUUUUGGCAAGCGUUUGCCCUCAUUACAUAUUGGAAAACAUAUUACAGACUUUGAUUCUUCCAUGCUGAUGGAACCGGAAUAGAUCCCCUUAUCCAUUAAUAUACUAUUUGAUUUGCACGAAGACACUGCUAUGAAGACACUGCAGACGCAUUUUCUAACAUACGGCGCACAUAAACCACCUCACGACAAGGGAAGCCUUGCAUGUAUGUAAGCUUUCCACCUUAUUGUCAAAAGACAGAAACGGCGAAUGAGCUCUCUUACUUGUUAUCCAACGGUUUGCCCUUGGUGUUCACUUCCAAGUUGGAACAGCACGCGAGCAAGCGAAACUUGUUCCGCAACCCCAAAACAACCUUCUCCUUCUCAUCAACUUGAGAGAAAGCACUCACCACCGGCAAGCCGUCGACGGCCAAUCCCUCCGCCUUCCCUUCCUGUCCGUCCUCUUGGACCGCCUAGCCGACCUCCAUGUUGGAGCAGCAGAGCCAGAUGCAGCCCUUGCGCUUCCUCCUCAUCCUCUUUCUGGUCGACUUCUUGGCAUCCUUCGCAUCGGUGAGCUCGUAGCCCUUUUCGCCGAUCCCCAUUUGGCUAUGUGCUCUCUGUUGUGCGCAAGAGAUGAGAUAAAUGCUUAUUUAUGAAGUCGGAGGAGCAGAUGAGAAGGAAGAG